ACCUUGGAAUCGAAAGGGUUUAGGCUUAGUAGAACUAAAACCGAGUACAUGAUGUGCAGUUUCAGUACUACUAGCUGUGAGGAGGAGGAGGUUAGCCUUGAUGGCCAGGUGGUACCUCGAAAGGACACCUUUCGGUAUUUGGGGUCAAUGUUGCAGGAGGAUGGGGGUAUUGAUGAAGAUGUGAACCAUCGAAUCAAAGCCGGAUGGAUGAAGUGGCGCCAAGCUUCUGGCAUUCUCUGUGACAAGAGAGUGCCACAAAAGCUAAAAGGCAAGUUCUACAGGACGGCGGUUCGACCCGCAAUGUUGUAUGGCGCGGAGUGUUGGCCAACUAAAAGGCGACAUGUUCAACAGUUAGGUGUGGCGGAGAUGCGUAUGUUGAGAUGGAUGUGUGGCCACACGAGGAAGGAUCGAGUCCGGAAUGAUGAUAUACGAGAUAGAGUUGGGGUAGCACCAAUUGAGGAGAAGCUUGUCCAACAUCGUUUGAGAUGGUUUGGGCAUAUUCAGCGCAGGCCUCCAGAAGCUCCAGUGCAUAGUGGACGGCUAAAGCGUGCGGAGAAUGUCAAGAGAGGGCGGGGUCGACUGAUUUUGACAUGGGAGGAGUCCGUUAAGAGAGACCUGAAGGAUUGG
rnacentral:rRNA from 1 species